GACGAACGCUGGCGGCGUGCCUAAUACAUGCAAGUAGAACGCUGAGGAGAGGAGCUUGCUCUUCUUGGAUGAGUUGCGAACGGGUGAGUAACGCGUAGGUAACCUGCCUUGUAGCGGGGGAUAACUAUUGGAAACGAUAGCUAAUACCGCAUAACAAUGGAUGACUCAUGUCAUUUAUUUGAAAGGGGCAAAUGCUCCACUACAUGAUGGACCUGCGUUGUAUUAGCUAGUAGGUGAGGUAACGGCUCACCUAGGCGACGAUACAUAGCCGACCUGAGAGGGUGAUCGGCCACACUGGGACUGAGACACGGCCCAGACUCCUACGGGAGGCAGCAGUAGGGAAUCUUCGGCAAUGGGGGCAACCCUGACCGAGCAACGCCGCGUGAGUGAAGAAGGUUUUCGGAUCGUAAAGCUCUGUUGUAAGUCAAGAACGAGUGUGAGAGUGGAAAGUUCACACUGUGACGGUAGCUUACCAGAAAGGGACGGCUAACUACGUGCCAGCAGCCGCGGUAAUACGUAGGUCCCGAGCGUUGUCCGGAUUUAUUGGGCGUAAAGCGAGCGCAGGCGGUUUGAUAAGUCUGAAGUUAAAGGCUGUGGCUCAACCAUAGUUCGCUUUGGAAACUGUCAAACUUGAGUGCAGAAGGGGAGAGUGGAAUUCCAUGUGUAGCGGUGAAAUGCGUAGAUAUAUGGAGGAACACCGGUGGCGAAAGCGGCUCUCUGGUCUGUAACUGACGCUGAGGCUCGAAAGCGUGGGGAGCGAACAGG
rnacentral:rRNA from 1 species